rnacentral:rRNA from 1 species
AGUGAACGCUGGCGGUAGGCCUAACACAUGCAAGUCGAACGGCAGCACAGUAAGAGCUUGCUCUUACGGGUGGCGAGUGGCGGACGGGUGAGGAAUACAUCGGAAUCUACUUUUUCGUGGGGGAUAACGUAGGGAAACUUACGCUAAUACCGCAUACGACCUACGGGUGAAAGCAGGGGAUCUUCGGACCUUGCGCGAUUGAAUGCGCCGAUGUCGGAUUAGCUAGUUGGCGGGGUAAAGGCCCACCAAGGCGACGCUCCGUAGCUGGGCUGAGAGGAUGAUCAGCCACACUGGAACUGAGACACGGUCCAGACUCCUACGGGAGGCAGCAGUGGGGAAUAUUGGACAAGGGGCGCAAGCCUGAUCCAGCCAUACCGCGUGGGUGAAGAAGGCCUUCGGGUUGUAAAGCCCUUUUGUUGGGAAAGAAAAGCAGCAGGUUAAUACCCCGCUGUUCUGACGGUACCCAAAGAAUAAGCACCGGCUAACUUCGU